rnacentral:rRNA from 1 species
AGAACGAACGCUGGCGGCAUGCCUAACACAUGCAAGUCGAACGAACCCUUCGGGGUUAGUGGCGCACGGGUGCGUAACGCGUGGGAACCUACCAUCAGGUUCGGAAUAACAGUUAGAAAUGACUGCUAAUACCGGAUAAUGUCUUCGGACCAAAGAUUUAUCGCCUUUUGAUGGGCCCGCGUUGGAUUAGCUAGUUGGUAAGGUAAAAGCUUACCAAGGCGACGAUCCAUAGCUGGUCUGAGAGGAUGAUCAGCCACACUGGGACUGAGACACGGCCCAGACUCCUACGGGAGGCAGCAGUGGGGAAUAUUGGACAAUGGGCGAAAGCCUGAUCCAGCAAUGCCGCGUGAGUGAUGAAGGCCUUAGGGUUGUAAAGCUCUUUACUGGGGAUGAUAAUGACAGUACCCAGAGAAUAAGCUCCGGCUAACUCCGCGCCAGCAGCCGC